GUGUUGUAUGAAAUGAGAGAAUGUUAGCACUCUCCUUGGUAAAAUUGGAAGAGGUCCUAGUAGCCUUUAUAACACAUAAGGUUAAGGCAUUGACAUCUACUCUGUGGUAGCUAACCAUAUUUUUCA
ensembl:snRNA